UGCGUUGAUUUAAAUUAAAUUUUAAGUACAAGCUUAAGUUCAUAUAGAGUACUUAACGUAACGUAACGUAUUAUAGAAGAGCUUGUGCGGUGGCCCUAACGCGGCGCACAUUUAUUGUAACAAUAUGCAUUGUCUGACAUUUCGAAUAUUAAUGCUAUUACAGCUGUAUUUAACUAAGAUAUAUACAAAAUUUUAGAACAAUUCAUUUUUUAUUUAAAUUUUUAUCAAGCGAUGCGGUAGCGGCGCGACGCCAAAAGUACGUAAAAAAUCGUGCCGCAUGACGCAAACUUCACUGCGCAAAUGUCACGGCCGCUACUAUGCUUUAUUUGGAAUUUAGCUGUCAAAUUCACUUUCAGUUGAAAUAUCUCAGAAAUUAAAAUCAUAAUCAAAAAUCUAAUGGCAAUCCCUUUCUAAAAAGGAAAUGUAACAAAAAUCUCGAAAAGUAUCGCGGUAUUGUCACCGCAAUAACUAUGCAUCUUAUUGGUCCGAGCUGUUUCGAGCACGAACCACUUCAAGCGACACUUGAUCUGUCAAAAUGAAAAGUGAUUUUGAUCUGUCAAAGUGAAAAGUGACAUGAAUAGCUCGAUGUUUACAACUCGGAGUUUUAGUUAGUUUGAUUUGAUCAUCAGGUUUUCGCGCAAGUCAAUUUGCGUGAGUCAGUGUUCUAUCUGAAAAUUAAACAACAAAGAAAGUUUGUUUUUGGGUCAUUACUGGGUGAAUUACAAGAGAUCAGGUGCGGUAAAAAAUUGACAAAAAAGCAAGUUUAUAGAAUAAGAAGUUUAAAAUAAUCGACGAUUUUGUUGCCUUUCAUAACUGAAGUUGGAAACCAAACUUGAAUUUCAGUACAUAAUUGAAAAUGAUUCGGCUCAAGGCUGAUGACAGCAUAGAAGAAUUUCAAUUAAUGUGAUUGUCAUAGUAAUUAAUGUAUUAAUAGUAGUUAACGUGUUAAUUUUGAAAUUAAUUUUUCUUACUGUGUUCCUUUCAUGUAUUAUAUAUAAGAUACUUUGAAUAAAAUUUUGAAAACAAAACUGAAAUA